GAUGAAGAACGCAGCGAAAUGCGAUAAGUAAUGUGAAUUGCAGAAUUCAGUGAAUCAUCGAAUCUUUGAACGCACAUUGCGCCCGCCAGUAUUCUGGCGGGCAUGCCUGUUCGAGCGUCAUUACAACCCUCAGGCCCCCGGGCCUGGCGUUGGGGAUCGGCGGAAGCCCCCUGCGGGCACAACGCCGUCCCCCAAAUACAGUGGCGGUCCCGCCGCAGCUUCCAUUGCGUAGUAGCUAACACCUCGCAACUGGAGAGCGGCGCGGCCACGCCGUAAAACACCCAACUUCUGAAUGUUGACCUCGAAUCAGGUAGGAAUACCCGCUGAACUUAAGCAUAUCAAUAAGCGGAGAA
rnacentral:misc_RNA from 1 species